CCACUCCGGCACUGGUACUGGUACCGGACCGGGUGGGGUGGGUUUAUUUCCCGGGUCCUGCUAUUUGUUCUGAUCUAACCCAAAUAGAGGAUUCUGGUUGCUAAAUCGGGCCCAAAGGUUCUGAUGGACCCGGCGCACAGAGCGGUGCUCCGGAGGUUCCGGGUGAAGCUGUCCGACCAGCUGCUGGUCACCGACACCAUCCUUCCGUUUCUGUUCCAGGAGGGGAUUCUGACAGAGGCCCAGGUCCAGCAGGUGGAGAGUCAGCCGACCGACAAGCAGAAGAACCUGAAGCUGUUGGACCUCCUGCCGAACCGCGGACCUCGUGCCUUUAGCGUCUUCUUGGACGCUCUGCGGGACUACAGCUGGAUCCGGGAGCAGCUGGAACUGGAGCUGCGGAACACUUCCGGUGGAGGGUCACCAGAUGACUUUGCUGCUCCUUCCUGUUGCCACGGAGACAGAUGCCAGCUUCCUGACUCAGUCCUGCAGAAGGUUCCUUCGGAUCAGGAGUUGUCCCGGCUGGCCUCAAGACUGGGCGCCGAGUGGGAGGAAGUUCUGUUGGACCUGGGUGUGUCCGCCGAAGCUCUGUACCGCUGCCGCUCCGAUCACAUCCUGAGCAGCCAGGCAGCGGCGCUGGCGGGCCUGGUUCUGUGGAGGCGGUCCGAGGGGAAGAAGGCUACGCUGGCGAGGCUGCUCCAGAGUCUGGAGACCGCUGACAUCCAUCCGUCUGUCCUGGAGGAUGCUGUUAUGAGAUGAGGCUUCUACACUCCAGUCUGGGGUUAAAUGACUAAGAAUCCAGCUGGGUUGGUCCAUGAUCGGACUGAUGACGAUUGCCAUAAAUUCACUAGAUAUUUAAAUUUAAGUCAAAUUACUUUAUGUACAGGAAGGAAGGUUCUGGGGUUUCAUUUAUAAAAAUGAGUAUGCUCCAUGGCAGAAGUGUACAUAUGCCAAAAAAAAUCCUGUCAUGGAGAUGCACAAAUCUGGAUUUAUAAACCAUGCUGAUGCACAAAUUAUGAUAAACCACAGAGGUGAACAAAUCCUGAUUUAUAAACCGUAUAGGUGAACAAAUCCUGAUUUAUAAACCAUGGAGGUUAACAAAUCUGGAUUUAUAAACCGUAUAGGUGAACAAAUCCUGAUUUAUAAACCAUGGAGGUGAACAAAUCCUGAUUUAUAAACCAUGGAGGUGAACAAAUCCUGAUUUAUAAACCAUGGAGGCGAAUAUGCCUAAAUAUGCCUUUAUAUACCCCAUCUAGACCUCAGUUUGGGUCCAUGGCUGCUCCUCACAUCCAGCCAUAAAUAGUCCAUCAAAGCACUGCAUGAAUGUUAUUGUGUAUAUAAAUGAGACAGCCGAUCGUUGUUUUGUGGUUACUAUGGCAACCACAUCCAAUUGGAGCAGAAUAGGCUCGGUGUAACUGAGCUGUCGGUUUGAGUGAUGUAAAUGAAAGGAAGUAUUAUUAACGAGAUCUUCAGUCUGAUAGACAGAAUGAUCAGAUUAUCUCAUCUCAGAUUUAUAAAUUCACCCAUAAAUAUUAUCAAUUCUCAGAAUUAUUUUCACUUCAGUAAAUAAAAAUAAGAAAAAUACACUUAUAUACUUAUAACAAAUGACUAACUUAGUAAUUUAAGUAAAUAAGUGUAAAUUUGGCAAGGGAAUAAAAUAAAUAACAUUUUAUUUAAAAGUUUUAAUCUACGCUAUGAAGAGGGAUGGUGUAGGUCUAGCGGGUCGGUCUGUCUGAUACAGGAUUACUGAUCUCUAGUUAUUCACUGGAUUACUGAUAGUCCGAUAGUCGUACGGGGUGAAGUGAAGCCGCCAUAUUGGUACUCCCUAAUUAGACCGGUUGCAAUGUAAAAACUGCAUGAUGUGGUUCCUGAUCAGCUGAGAACUGCUCAUCAUCAUGGCUCAGGAAACAUGGAUCAUUCCUGAAAAUCUCCCCUUUCCAUAAUUUUAUAAUUAGGAGAUAAACUCGCAUAAUGACGAGAUACUGAUCUCGUACUUAUGAGAUAAGCUGUCUGAUUUUAUGUUCUUUGGUGAAUGCAAUACACUUCCAUACUUUAUUGAUGCUUUUUGCUUUAUUUUGCGUUUUCUUCUGGGAAUGUUUUAUAUUUUUCAGGGUUCUCCUCUGAGGAUGCUUAGUUUUUUUAUAAAUGUUUUUUUAUUGUUCUUUACUCUAAAAAUGAUGUGUCAAUAACAUUUAAUGUCCAUUUUUGACAAUAAUGCUUCAUUAAAGAUGUAC